rnacentral:rRNA from 1 species
UUNAUCAUGGCUCAGGACGAACGCUGGCGGNGUACUUAACACACGCAAGUCGAGCGGUAAGUGCCCUUUCGGGGGUACACGAGCGGCGAACGGGUGAGUAACACGUGGGUAACCUGCCCUCAGCUCUGGGAUAAGCCCGGGAAACUGGGUCUAAUACCGGAUAUGACCUCGCAUCGCAUGGUGUGGGGUGGAAAGCCUUGUGCGGCUGAGGAUGGGCCCGCGGCCUAUCAGCUUGUUGGUGGGGUAGUGGCCUACCAAUGGCGACGACUGGGUAGCCGGCCUGAGAGGGCGACCUGGCCACACUGGGACUGAGACACGGCCCAGACUCCUACGGGAGGCAGCAGUGGGGAAUAUUGCGCAAUGGGCGAAAGCCUGACGCAGNCGACGCCGCGUGAGGGAUGACGGCCUUCGGGUUGUAANCCUCUUUCAGCUCCGACGAAGCCUUCGGGUGACGGUAGGGGCAGAAGAAGCACNCGGNCAANUACGUGCCAGNAGACGCGGUAAUACGUAGGGUGCAA